rnacentral:rRNA from 1 species
CACGACUACAUUAGAUACCCGCGUAGUCCUAGCCGUAAACGAUACUCGCUAGGUGUCGGCCACGGUGCGACCGUUGUCGGUGCCGUAGGGAAGCCGUGAAGCGAGCCACCUGGGAAGUACGGCCGCAAGGCUGAAACUUAAAGGAAUUGGCGGGGGAGCACAACAACGGGUGGAGCUUGCGGUUUAAUUGGAUUCAACGCCGGAAAUCUUACCGGGACCGACAGCAACAUGAAGGCCAAGCUGAAGACUUUGCCGGAUUAGCUG